rnacentral:misc_RNA from 1 species
UGAUAACGCUGUGGCCUUGGCGCGCUCAGUCGUGGCCACCCGUCAGAGGAGGAACCAUGGUAAAGAAGAAAGUGAAGGAGAUGAUGACGUCACGGAACAAAAUGUCGUUCUUCGGAGUCAACCCGUUCGGUACCCCCGUAGGCCAGAAGAUCGAACAGGCAACAGCAGAGACCUUGCCUUCAGAGGACUGGGGACUUAAUCUGGAAGUGUGUGACCUGAUCAAUGAGUCCGAGGAUGGUCCCCGCGACGCCAUUAAGGCCAUCAGGAAGCGCCUCGCCACCCAGCCCAAGAACUACACAGUCGUCAUGUACACCUUGACGCUGUUGGAGUCAUGCGUCAAGAACUGUGGGAAGCGCUUCCAUAUUCUGGCCUGCAGUAAGGACUUUGUGCAGGACUUGGUAAAGCUCAUUGGGCCCAAGAAUGAGCCGCCAGCUGCCAUCCAGGAGAAGGUCCUCUUGUUGAUCCAGGCGUGGGCUGAUGCCUUCCGUCACCAGCCAGAGCUCUCGGGAGUCAGUCAGGUUUAUGCAGAGCUCAAACACAAAGGCGUGGAGUUCCCCAUGACCAACCUGGACACCAUGGCCCCCAUCAUCACACCUCAGCGGACAGCUGCUCCUGAGCCCCGUCCUCCCCGUGUACCUCCAGGAAAUGCUACAUCACCCCGCCGCCAGACUGCUCACCAACCUGCAACCACUCCAGCUGCCCCUGUCUCCUUGACAGCUGAACAACGAGCAAAGUUGCACAGCGAACUGGAUGUAGUGGAGUCAAAUGCUAAAGUCUUGGGGGAGAUGCUAGGUGAAUUGAGCCCUGGCAAGGAACACCAGGAUGAUGUACAAUUGUUGCAGGAGCUACAUGCAACGUGUCGAGCAAUGCAGCAGCGUGUGGUUGAGCUUGUGGGCCGCGUCAGUGAUGACAUUCUGACGGCAGACCUCCUUCGUAUCAAUGAUGAUCUUAAUAAUCUCUUUCUCAGAUAUGAUCGACACAUGAACAAGGUAAAAGGUAUCAGUAGUCCCACUAAAUCUCCACAGCAACAACCCACUCCACAGCCUCCACAACUGCCACCUCCACAACGACCUACACAACAAGAAGUGUCACUAAUAGACCUUGCUGAUGAGGCGCCCUCAGCCCAGCUGGCCACUCUCACUGUAGGAAACUCCCCAAAGGCGAAGAAAAAUGAAGAUGCCGACUUUGAUAUGUUUGCACAAUCACGAACAGCUACUUACGAAAAUAACAAGACCAGUGGGAGCACAUACUUGGACAACAGCGAGAUGGACGUUACAUCAGUGUCUCUGGGUCGCGCGGCACAGUUGAGAAACAAUCCAUAAAUCAGUGAAGUGACGAUGGCAACUUAAAGACAGUGACUUUGACGAGAUGGAGGCGUGGCUGAACGAACAACCAAAUGAAGCAAAACCCGGAGCAGGUGCAAAAGAGGAAAGCAUCUCAUCAUCUGAAUUUGACCGCUUUUUGGCC